GUCCACGCCGUAAACGAUGUCUACUAGUUGUUGGUGGAGUAAAUCCAUGAGUAACGCAGCUAACGCGUGAAGUAGACCGCCUGGGAGUACGGUCGCAAUAUUAAACUCAAAUGAAUUGACGGGGCCCGCACAAGCGGUGGAUUAUGUGGAUUAAUUCGAUGCAACGCGAAAACCUUACCUGGCCUUGACAUGUAACGAACUUUUCCAGAGAUGGAUUGGUGCUCGAAAGAGAGCGUUAACACAGGUGCUGCAUGGCUGUCGU
rnacentral:rRNA from 1 species